UCAGUUCUUCACUCCACAGCAAAAGUCUCAGGCUCUUGAAGGUCAGUUCACUUUCCCAAAACAAAUUAUUUUAAUUCAAGAUCAAUUUGGCGAUAUAGUUCUUUUAUUAUUUAUUUAUUCCUUAAAUUUUUUGCUCAAUCGAUCGCAUCUUCUUUUAUAGCAUAUUACAAUCAGUUCGUCUCAUGUAGAUACAAGAGAUGCAUCCAUAUAUGUUUGUGUGUAUUUAUAUACACGUAUGUACUCGUAUCGGUAUGUGCUGUUGUUGAAGUUUUAUAUUUUAUUUUUAUUUUACUGUCAUUUUGCAUGAAUCGUUUAUUAUAAUUUUGUCUUAAUUUUUAUGUUUUUUGUUAUUGUUUUUCUUUUCUGUGGACAGUUCAAAAUUUCGAUCCUGCUGUGCUGUCAGGGAGGGUUUGACCUUUUUUAUUCACAUGAGUCCCUAGGCCAACUCACUUGGGUCAACUAGAAUGUCAAAUUCUUCUAGAGCUUCAUUCUCAAAGUUUUGACACUUGAGACCAAUUGUAGACUUGUCGCUGCUGAAUCAUAUUUAAGAGUUUAAGUUUAAGAGCUUGUUUGGUGGAAAUUUUGGUAAUUGAUUUUUUGACCAUUAGAUAUAAAGUAGAUCCUAUCUUUGAGAUAAGAAUUCAAAAAUGACAAUUGGAAUAGUGAAAUAAUUGUCAAAAAAUUGAUUUUAAUUGAUUUAAAAUUCCUACCAAACAAGCGGUAAAUGUAGACAACUCUAUUUCUUGAAAGAAUUCUGACUUUUUCUAGAUAAAUAUUAGAUAUAGGCCAUUCUAUCCCAAUGAGAAUUGUCUGCCUUUAGAUUAAAGGAUCUUGCUAUAUAUACAUAAAGAUUUACAUAAUGGAUUACAUAAUUUCACACGGCACUCUGCCAUUUGCCAGUUUAAAAUACAAUCAACUUUUUCAUCCAAUUUUUUCCCACCACAUCAUAUUACAUAAUCCAUUAUGUAUAUUUUUUAUGUACAAGUAGCAAAAUCCUAGAUUUAAUCUCUAUAAUAAAGCCACUUGGCCAUCUUAAAGGGUGAGGUGUAUAAGUAACAUUUUAUUGUUAUUUUGUAUGCAUUUAUCCAUAUAAACAUUUAGGGUGUCUUUGAUUACCUCUAUUUUCCAUGGAAGAUGUCAUUUUUUCACCCAAAUACUUACUAUUAGGGUGUUUUGUUGACAUUUUUUUCAUGGAAAAUAUUUUUCAAAAGUUGGUGACAUAUUUUCCUAAAAAAGCAAGGAAAACAUUUUUUUGGAGAGGAGUAGGUUUUUAUUUUUCAAAUAAUUCACUCUCUCUCUCUCUCUCUCUCUCAUUUACCUCCCUCUCGUCUACCCACCAAUAAAAAUUAAACAAGUAUAAUAUUUUUUUAGGUUGAAAUUUAAACCAAUUAAACACAUUUAAUUAAUGUUUUUCAUAUAAUAAAUUCUAAACAUUUCAAUUGUCUAGAACUUAUUUUUUUCUAUGCAAAUUUCAUACUUGCAAUCAAACACUCUGCUAGAGUAAUGCCACAUCACAUAAUUAUUUACAGAUUGUUGUAAUGAUUGAUGAAAUUAUAUUAAAAUUUAAGAAAAUGCUUGUUGUAUAUCACUCUUUACAUAAUUUUUAUAGAUUGAUGAGAUGGCAAAAAGAAAGUGAAAGAGUUUUAUCUUUUAUUAUUUUAUAUUUUUGGUUGACAAGAUUUUGACUCAAUCAAAUCUCACCACAUCAUCUGUUUGUUAACAAAUUUGUAAGUUGUGAUGUAUAUGUAGUACAAUUGUAAAAUUUAAUUGAUUUCCUUCUCACAUUUCCUCUCUCUUUGCCAAACUUAUUUUUUCCCUAUCUCUGUACACCAAUCUGUAAAUAAUUAUGUACAAGUAACAUUACUCAAACAUUUAUGAUGAGCAUCUAAUUAUCAUGAAGAUACAUACUCUACCUGUUCUGUUUGAUGGAUCUGUGCAUAGAUUGAUAGAUGUUUAUAUUUGUGUUAAUUCAGUGAUAAGAGUU
rnacentral:lncRNA from 1 species